rnacentral:rRNA from 1 species
AUAAUAUCUUUAUAUAUAUUAAUUAUUCUUAAUUUAUAUAUUAUAUUUUAAGAAAUAUUAUGAAUUAAUGCGAAGUUGAAAUAUAGUUACUGUAGGGGAACCUGUAGUGGGCUUAUAAUAUUCUUUAAUAUUCUUUUUAUUAAUUUAAUUUAAUUUAACUUGUAUAGUUUAAUGGUUAAAACAUUUGUCUCAUAAAUAAAUAAUGAUAGGUUCAAUUCCUUCUACAAGUAUUAUAAAUAAAUAAUAAUAAUACAUAUUUAUAUUAAAUCAUAUUAUUAAUUUAAUUAUUAAUAUAUACAUACUUAUUAUACAUAAUAUUUUA